GUCGAGGGGCAUCGGGACGUAGCAAUACGUUGCCGGCGACCGGCGGAUGGGUGAGUAACGCGUAUGCAACCUACCCGUAGCAGGGGGAUAGCCCGUUGAAAGACGGAUUAAUACCCCGUAACACAGGGGCUCCGCAUGGAGAUUAUUGUUAAAGGGUCAUUUCUUUUUCAGGGAUGGUCCGGCUACGGAUGGGCAUGCGUUCCAUUAGGUAGUUGGUGUAGGUAACGGCUCACCAAGCCGACGAUGGAUAGGGGAACUGAGAGGUUGGUCCCCCACACUGGUACUGAGACACGGACCAGACUCCUACGGGAGGCAGCAGUGAGGAAUCUUGGUCAAUGGACGCAAGUCUGAACCAGCCAUGUCGCGUGAAGGAGGACGGCCCUAAGGGUUGUAAACUUCUUUUGCAGCGGAAUAAAGUUUGCCACGAGUUGGCGAUUUGCAAGUACGCUGCGAAUAAGGAUCGGCUAACUCCGUGUCAGCAGCCGCGGUAAUACGGAGGAUCCGGGCGUUAUCCGGAUUUAUUGGGUUUAAAGGGUGCGCAGGCGGGGAUUUAGGUCGGCGGUGAAAUUUCGGGGCUCAACCUCGACAGUGCCGUUGAAACCGUUUCUCUUGAGUGCGGAUGAGGUAGGCGGAAUUUGUGGUGUAGCGGUGAAAUGCGUAGAUAUCACAAGGAACACCGAUUGCGGAGGCAGCUUACUAAACCGUUACUGACGCUCAUGCACGAAGGCGUGGGGAUCAAACAGGAUUAGAUACCCUGGUAGUCCACACUGUAAACGAUGAUAACUCGCUGCCGGCGAUACAUUGUCGGUGGCCAAGCGAAAGCAUUAAGUUAUCCACCUGGGGAGUACGACCGCAAGGUUGAAACUCAAAGGAAUUGACGGGGGCCCGCACAAGCGGAGGAACAUGUGGUUUAAUUCGAUGAUACGCGAGGAACCUUACCCGGGCUCGAACGGUGCAUGAAUAUAUGAGAGAUUGUAUAGUCUUCGGACAUGCAUCGAGGUGCUGCAUGGUUGUCGUCAGCUCGUGCCGUGAGGUGUCGGCUUAAGUGCCAUAACGAGCGCAACCCCUGUCGUCAGUUGCCAUCGGUAUAAGCCGGGGACUCUGGCGAGACUGCCAUCGUAAGAUGCGAGGAAGGUGGGGAUGACGUCAAAUCAGCACGGCCCUUAUGUCCGGGGCGACACACGUGUUACAAUGGGCGGUACAGCGGGAAGCUACCCGGCGACGGGGAGCCGAUCCCGAAAUCCGCUCACAGUUCGGAUCGGAGUCUGCAACUCGACUCCGUGAAGUCGGAUUCGCUAGUAAUCGCGCAUCAGCCACGGCGCGGUGAAUACGUUCCCGGGCCUUGUACACACCGCCCGUCAAGCCAUG
rnacentral:rRNA from 1 species